rnacentral:ncRNA from 2 species
AUAACUUGCUAGGGGUGCCAAUAUGGCUGAGAGGUUUAAUACUAACCCUUGUACCUGAUCUGGAUAAUGCCAGCGUAGGAAAGCUUUAUGAAAUAUAA